AUGUCUGCCGCGGAGGGAGCCGUCGUGUUCAGCGAGGAGAAGGAGGCGCUGGUGCUCAAGUCAUGGGCCAUCAUGAAGAAGGAUUCCGCCAACCUUGGGCUCCGCUUCUUCCUCAAGAUCUUCGAGAUCGCGCCGUCGGCGAGGCAGAUGUUCCCGUUCCUGCGCGACUCCGACGUGCCGCUGGAGACCAACCCCAAGCUCAAGACCCACGCCGUGUCCGUCUUCGUCAUGACGUGCGAGGCUGCUGCGCAGCUGCGGAAAGCCGGGAAGAUCACCGUCAGGGAGACCACCCUGAAGAGGCUGGGCGGCACGCACUUGAAAUACGGCGUGGCAGAUGGCCACUUUGAGGUGACGCGGUUCGCUCUGCUCGAGACGAUCAAGGAGGCGCUUCCGGCGGACAUGUGGGGGCCGGAGAUGAGGAACGCGUGGGGCGAGGCCUACGACCAACUGGUCGCGGCCAUCAAGCAAGAGAUGAAGCCCUCUGAGUAG
rnacentral:rRNA from 1 species